rnacentral:rRNA from 1 species
AGCGAACGCUGGCGGCAGGCCUAACACAUGCAAGUCGAACGAAGUCUUCGGACUUAGUGGCGGACGGGUGAGUAACACGUGGGAACGUGCCUUUAGGUUCGGAAUAACUCAGGGAAACUUGUGCUAAUACCGAAUGUGCCCUUCGGGGGAAAGAUUUAUCGCCUUUAGAGCGGCCCGCGUCUGAUUAGUUAGUUGGUGAGGUAAAGGCUCACCAAGGCUACGAUCAGUAGCUGGUCUGAGAGGAUGACCAGCCACAUUGGGACUGAGACACGGCCCAAACUCCUACGGGAGGCAGCAGUGGGGAACCUUGCGCAAUGGGCGAAAGCCUGACGCAGCCAUGCCGCGUGGAUGAUGAAGGUCUUAGGAUUGUAAAAUCCUUUCACCGGUGAAGAUAAUGACUGUAGCCGGAGAAGAAGCCCCGGCUAACUUCGUGCCAGCAGCCGCAGUAAGAC